AUUUUAUGCUCAAGAAACACUUUUAUUUCAAACUUGAUUCAAAAUUGAAUGUAAAAAAAAAAAACAACAUGAUUAUACUGAAACAAAAAAUGGAAUGUGCAUAUACAUAAAGUGAUCAGAUUCAUCCAUCAAGUACAAGAAGUACAAUACUUACACCUGUUGUACAAACAAUUUCUACACUUGACAAGAGCAAAUUGAGAUUCUCAAACUAUCUGCAUCUGUUAUAUAAAAAGUAGUCUCUGGGAUGGGAAUAGGAAGACAUCGUGGGUACUAGGUUUAUAUCCAAGAGACUCAUUUCAGUUAUUACAAUGAUUAAAAACAAGUCCCACUAAAAAGUAAUUGGAUCACUCUUCUCUUUUGUAAAUAUAUUUUAUCACCAUUUGUUAAGAUGACCUAUGCUGGAAGUAAUAUACAUUCUCCAGAAGUGAAUUCAAAUACAUUAGAAUGACUUGAACACAUUUGUAAUCUAAUUAUUAGUUUAAAAGUAUAAAUUUACAGCAGUUUCUGAGAAAAAUUGGAAAGAAAAAAUUUUGUGUUAAUAGUUAUUACCGUAUUUUCAUGCAUAUACCCCACAUAUGGGUAAAACCCACAUACGUAUAUACCCCACAUAUGAGUAUAACCCACAUACGCAUAUACCCUGCACAGAUUACAAAACCCACAUAUGCAUAUACCCUGCACAGAUUACAAAA